AACGAACGCUGGCGGCGUGCCUAAUACAUGCAAGUCGAGCGAGAAAGCCUCUUCGGAGGUGAGUAAAGCGGCGCACGGGUGAGUAACACGUGGGCAACCUACCCUUGAGUCUGGGAUAACCCGGGGAAACUCGGGCUAAUACCAGAUACGGCUGCGGGGUCUUCGGAUCCUGUGGAGAAAGAUGGCCUCUUCUUGAAAGCUAUCUCUCGAGGAUGGGGCCCGCGUCCUAUUAGCAGUUGGUGAGGUAACGGCUCACCAAGGCAAAGAUGGGUAGCUGGUCUGAGAGGAUGGCCAGCCACACUGGAACUGAGACAC
rnacentral:rRNA from 1 species